GAUGAACGCUGGCGGCGUGCUUAACACAUGCAAGUCGAACGAUUGAAGCUGGAGCUUGCUCCGGCCGAUUUAGUGGCGGACGGGUGAGUAACGCGUGGGUAACCUGCCUCAUACAGGGGGAUAGCAGUUGGAAACGACUGGUAAAACCGCAUAAGCGCACAGUAUCGCAUGAUACAGUGUGAAAACACUCCGGUGGUAUGAGAUGGACCCGCGUCUGAUUAGCUAGUUGGUGAGGUAACGGCCCACCAAGGCGACGAUCAGUAGCCGGCCUGAGAGGGUGAACGGCCACAUUGGGACUGAGACACGGCCCAAACUCCUACGGGAGGCAGCAGUGGGGAAUAUUGCACAAUGGGGGAAACCCUGAUGCAGCGACGCCGCGUGAGUGAAGAAGUAUUUCGGUAUGUAAAGCUCUAUCAGCAGGGAAGAUAAUGACGGUACCUGACUAAGAAGCACCG
rnacentral:rRNA from 1 species